GAUGAACGCUGGCGGCGUGCCUAAUACAUGCAAGUCGAGCGAACGGAUGAGAAGCUUGCUUCUCUGAUGUUAGCGGCGGACGGGUGAGUAACACGUGGAUAACCUACCUAUAAGACUGGGAUAACUUCGGGAAACCGGAGCUAAUACCGGAUAAUAUAUUGAACCGCAUGGUUCAAUAGUGAAAGACGGUCUUGCUGUCACUUAUAGAUGGAUCCGCGCUGCAUUAGCUAGUUGGUAAGGUAACGGCUUACCAAGGCAACGAUGCAUAGCCGACCUGAGAGGGUGAUCGGCCACACUGGAACUGAGACACGGUCCAGACUCCUACGGGAGGCAGCAGUAGGGAAUCUUCCGCAAUGGGCGAAAGCCUGACGGAGCAACGCCGCGUGAGUGAUGAAGGUCUUCGGAUCGUAAAACUCUGUUAUUAGGGAAGAACAUAUGUGUAAGUAACUAUGCACAUCUUGACGGUACCUAAUCAGAAAGCCACGGCUAACUACGUG
rnacentral:rRNA from 1 species